UAAAAAACCUGAAUCUCAGUCUAGCCUCUGUGAAAGCUCUUAUACUGAUACCAGCAGCACUGCAAUGGACAAUCGAUGCCUCUCUUUUGAUCAAGAGUCAUUCCAGUCCUUUGCUGGUGCUGAUGACUCACAAAGUCUGCAAACAAACAGUGAAAUGGAGCUGAGUUCAGAGGAGAAUGUACUGACAGACUUUGCCUGUGAUAUUCUUCCACCACCAAAAUGUCUGCAUAAUGAUCUUUUUUCACACAUGCUUUUCCUAUAUGAUGUAUUAUAUUAAUAUUUUUUGUUAAUGAUUUCUAAUUAUUGAUGAUAAUUGGUUGCAGCCACUGAAGAAGCUGUCUAUGAAACCCCCCCCUUCCAAAUGGCCAGCCAAUGAGGGUGAGUAUGUGGUUACUGAUAGCAUCUAUGAUGUCCCAAACUCCAUAAUUAGGAAAAUGACUGAUCAUACAAUUGAAUUUCACAGCAGUAGUGGGAGGCCUGAGAGUGGUGGUCUUUUGAGUGACAUGAUAGCCUGUUUGGGCAGUGAAUCUGCUGCCUGGGUCAAAACUGCGCCACUGUGAACCAUUUGUGAAUCUCAGUGACAUGAGUCACUUUGAGCAAGAUGGAGAUAAGUUUUUUUUAUGUUGCUUUCUGUUUGCAUCCACACUGUCAUCACUUAUGUAGAACAAUGGACACAUUGUGCAGUGUUUAAGAAAUAAAUAAAAAAAAAGGCUGUUCUGUAUCUUCUAAGCUAAAUAGGGAAAUGCCAAUGUCAUUUUUCCUCCUUUGUCCUAUAUUCUCAUUGUAAAUACAUUUUUUGCAAAUCAAAUUAAUGUUUCAAAAUGAUAACAAAUUACAAAAUUAUACACCGAUUAUUCACGGUCUGUAAGCAGAAGAAUAAUUCAGAGUAUUGUUCCGGAUUGUUCUGCCCCAAUUUAACCACUGCCUGUAAUGUAUGUUAUUAAGUGAUUGUGAUUUAUUGAAGCUUACUAAAUAAAUACAUUUUAAAUUACAGAGCUCAUCAAAUGAAUCAAAUACCAAAAAAAUAGUUUAAAAAAGAAAGCAAAACAACAAGCUGUCUUUUUACUAGCUUAAAUAGUUAUUAAUGUUACUUUUGUAAUCAGAAACAAGCUACAGUAAUGCCUCUGCACAUACAGAUUGGCAUUAAAGGAAUAUUCCGGGUUCAGUACAAGUUAAGCUCAAUCGACAGCAUUUGUCACAUAAUGUUGAUUACCACAAUAAAUAAAUAAAUAAAAAGAGCAAAAAUCAAGGUUACAGUGAGGCACUUACAAUGAAAGUGAAUGUGGCCAAUUUUUGAAUGUUAAAAUGCUGACUUUUUCAGAAAUAUAGCCACAAGACAAACAAUAUGUGUGUAAACAUGAUUUUAGUGUGUUAAAAAUCACUUACUAACCUUUUCUGUGUUAUUGCCAAUUUUACAACUUUGUUCCCAUGGCAAUGUAAUGUCAACAAACCCUAAAAUGACUAAAAAUUACCAUUUAAACAACUUUACAGCUCAAAUAAUACAUGAGAGAACAGAAAAAUUUAUUAAAUUAAUAAAAAAAAUUUUAAGAAAAGCAGGCAUGAGUAGAAAUUAAAUUUUUGGUAAUCAACUAUGAUAUGAACAAAUGCUGUUGAUAAUCUUAACUUGUAUUAAACCCGGAACAUUCCUUGAAGACCCCUCUACGUCAGCAGCCUUGUCACACCAAUGCUCAUUUUAUAAAUUUCUGCACAUUUCAAAAUUUGCAGAACAUUCCAUCAGUUUUUGUGUAAAAGGAACAGAAAUAGCCUUGUUUUUAUCACUGUCUUGUUGGGUUAAGCAUGAUUUAGCAUAAUGUGUCAGUGUUG